AUUGAACGCUGGCGGCAUGCCUUACACAUGCAAGUCGAACGGCAGCACGGACUUCGGUCUGGUGGCGAGUGGCGAACGGGUGAGUAAUACAUCGGAACGUGCCCAGUAAUGGGGGAUAGCUCGGCGAAAGCCGGAUUAAUACCGCAUACGCCCUGAGGGGGAAAGUGGGGGACCGCAAGGCCUCACGUUAUUGGAGCGGCCGAUGGCUGAUUAGCUAGUUGGUGAGGUAAAGGCUCACCAAGGCGACGAUCAGUAGCUGGUCUGAGAGGACGAUCAGCCACACUGGGACUGAGACACGGCCCAGACUCCUACGGGAGGCAGCAGUGGGGAAUUUUGGACAAUGGGCGCAAGCCUGAUCCAGCAAUGCCGCGUGUGCGAAGAAGGCCUUCGGGUUGUAAAGCACUUUUGUCAGGAAAGAAAGCCAUUGGGUUAAUACCCUGAUGGGAUGACGGUACCUGAAGAAUAAGCACCGGCUAACUACGUGCCAGCAGCCGCCGUAA
rnacentral:rRNA from 1 species